UACGAAGGGGGCUAGCGUUGUUCGGAAUUACUGGGCGUAAAGCGCACGUAGGCGGACCGGCCAGUCAGGGGUGAAAUCCCAGAGCUUAACACUGGAACUGCCUUUGAUACUGCCGGUCUUGAGGAUGAGAGAGGUGAGUGGAACUGCGAGUGUAGAGGUGAAAUUCGUAGAUAUUCGCAAGAACACCAGUGGCGAAGGCGGCUCACUGGCUCAUUUCUGACGCUGAGGUGCGAAAGCGUGGGGAGCAAACAGG
rnacentral:misc_RNA from 1 species